rnacentral:rRNA from 1 species
AGUGAACGCUGGCGGUAGGCCUAACACAUGCAAGUCGGACGGCAGCACAGUAAGAGCUUGCUCUUACGGGUGGCGAGUGGCGGACGGGUGAGGAAUACAUCGGAAUCUACUUUUUCGUGGGGGAUAACGUAGGGAAACUUACGCUAAUACCGCAUACGACCUACGGGUGAAAGCAGUGGAUCUUCGGACCUUGCGCGAUUGAAUGAGCCGAUGUCGGAUUAGCUAGUUGGCGGGGUAAAGGCCCACCAAGGCGACGAUCCGUAGCUGGUCUGAGAGGAUGAUCAGCCACACUGGAACUGAGACACGGUCCAGACGCCUACGGGAGGCAGCAGUGGGGAAUAUUGGACAAUGGGCGCAAGCCUGAUCCAGCCAUACCGCGUGGGUGAAGAAGGCCUUCGGGUUGUAAAGCCCUUUUGUUGGGAAAGAAAAGCAGCAGGUUAAUACCCCGCUGUUCUGACGGUACCCAAAGAAUAAGCACCGGCUAACUUCGUG